AUUGAACGCUGGCGGCAUGCUUUACACAUGCAAGUCGAACGGCAGCGCGGGCUUCGGCCUGGCGGCGAGUGGCGAACGGGUGAGUAAUACAUCGGAACGUGCCCAGUAGUGGGGGAUAGCUCGGCGAAAGCCGGAUUAAUACCGCAUACGACCUGAGGGUGAAAGCGGGGGAGCUUCGGACCUGGCGCUAUUGGAGCGGGCGAUGGCUGAUUAGCUAGUUGGUGGGGUAAAGGCCUACCAAGGCGACGAUCUGUAGCUGGUCUGAGAGGACGACCAGCCACCCUGGGACUGAGACACGGCCCAGACUCCUACGGGAGGCAGCAGUGGGGAAUUUUGGACAAUGGGCGAAAGCCUGAUCCAGCAAUGCCGCGUGUGUGAUGAAGGCCUUCGGGUUUUAAAGCACUUUUGGCGGGAACGAAAAGGACUGUGCCAAUACCACGGUUCGAUGACGGUACCCGCAGAAUAAGCACCGGCUAACUACGUG
rnacentral:rRNA from 1 species